UGCUGCUUAACAUGUCAAGGUCAAUGAAUGGAGAUGAUCUCAAUGCAUCAACCAGGGAGAAUGAAACAAUGUCAACCUCAUGGUUGAACAUUGAGAUGUGAUUGCUAGGAUGUCUAUAUGGAUCUCUGAACCUGUGCUUUUAACAGAUGACUCAGGCCUUUUUAUAGACUCAAAAGAUCAAACAAGCAAUAAUUUAAAGCCAAA
rnacentral:lncRNA from 1 species